GUGGUGAUGUUUGCGCGCAACAGAACAAGACUGUCAAGUUAAUAACAGUGUAAUUCUCAGCAUGUAAUGGGGGGAAAAAAAUAUUAAUAAUAAUUAUAAAUCAAACGUAGACUAGCGGCCCACGCAGGUCCAAACAGACCGGCCCACCGGGGAUUCUCCCGCACUUCCCGAUGGCCAGUCCGCGCCUGCAGUGAGGAAUACAGGCAGUUGGGGAACAUGACUGGGACAGUGACAAAGCACACUCCUUCGCUGGAAGCCUUCCAGGUGCUCUACCAGCGCAUGAAAUAUGAAUAUGACUUUUACUACUUCAUCCAAGAUCAGUUCCACCUGAAGAAGAAAAUCGGACUGAAGUCGCAAUCUUGUCCCACUCGCACUCCACAGUUCUUGCAAGCAUCUCAACUGAAGAGCGAGCAGCCUGUGACGGAGGAGGAAGAGGGAGAGAAUAACUAGUUGGAGCAUCCUUGAUCACACCUGACAUAUCCAAGGACCUGCACUGACGUGUGCUGGCAUUUUAAUGUACAUCCCUACUCAGCUGGGAAUGUUUUUUUACUUGUGGUUUUGCUUUCCUUGGCAGGGUGGUGUUCAAGGAGGAUCCUCAUGGUUGUGGGAUUUAAAAAAAAAAAUUUUUUUUUUUUUUUUUUUUUUUAAAGCUCAACUGUUGAGGCAAUUGUAUCCUGAAAUCUCAAGCAUAGUGUAACCUGCCACAUUUCCAGUGUAUGAAAGGUACUGAACAGAACACGUAUGUGGGGCAUCUUGGCAAACAACCAGAAGACCGCACCCCUGCUAUCGCCUGAACAUCUGGACUUCUGCCAAGAAAUGGGGAAAGAUGUGAAGCGUGCCCAGGUGUUUGGAAAUUAAAUGUUAUCUUUGCAUAUUAAUGGGCGAGAGUAAAAAUAAGAGGAACAGCAAGAAGGGAUUUAAUUAUCUAUUUAUGUGUCAAGUGUAACUCAAUAAGAGUUUUAAAAUACAAAUUUAAGGCUGAUGUCUUAAGAAAUCUAGAAAUGAGCUAAAGCAGCUGAGACACAAUAAUGUAUGGGAUACAUUCGGUGGUUCAGUAGAACAAAAUGCCUAAUAAGUAAUUUUUGCUUUAUAUAAUUAAUUUAUAUAAAGCAAUAGCUGGUAUGUGUCUGUGUGUGUGUGUGUGUGUGUAUAUAUAUAUAUAUAUACAGUGCCUUGCGAAAGUAUUUGGCC